rnacentral:pre_miRNA from 1 species
UCUUAUGGAUAAGCAAAGAAAAUGGGUUUCUUGAGAAGGAAUCUGUUCUCAGUGAUGAUGCUAUGAA